rnacentral:rRNA from 1 species
UACAGAGGGUGCAAACGUUGUUCGGAUUUACUGGGCGUAAAGCGCGCGUAGGCGGCUUUGCAAGUCGGAUGUGAAAGCCCACGGCUCAACCGUGGAAGUGCAUCCGAAACUGCAUGGCUCGAGUCUCGGAGAGGAAGGUGGAAUGCUUGGUGUAGAGGUGAAAUUCGUAGAUAUCAAGCAGAACACCUGCGGCGAAGGCGGCCUUCUGGACGGUGACUGACGCUGAGACGCGAAAGCGUGGGGAGCAAACAGG